GCCUUGGUGGUGUAACGGUUAGCACAUUCGGCGCGGAUUCGAGAGGUCCAGGUUCGAAUCCCGGUGAGGGCA
rfam:Stegodyphus mimosarum contig26735, whole genome shotgun sequence.